UGCAGGUUCAAGGACGAUAGGCCCUACCCCUGGACACAGGGUGUGUCGUCGCUGAUUUUGAACCCCGAUUCGGCCAAUCAGAGCGUUUACACGCAGCGACUGACGCAGGAGGACGCCGGUGUCUACACGUGUCGCGCCACCAACGACACACACCUUAUCGAGCAUCACAUCAGACUCACCGUUUUUCAAUCAAGCAGUUAUGUCGACGAGCCGAAACCGACUUACCAAGUACCUGAAGCCCACUUUGCCAAAAUCGACGAACCAGCAAGACUUUACUGUGAAGCUUUUGUUGG